AGAUUGAACGCUGGCGGCAGGCCUAACACAUGCAAGUCGAGCGGCAGCACGGGUACUUGUACCUGGUGGCGAGCGGCGGACGGGUGAGUAAUGGCCUAGGGAUCUGCCUGGUAGUGGGGGAUAACGCUCGGAAACGGACGCUAAUACCGCAUACGUCCUACGGGAGAAAGCAGGGGACCUUCGGGCCUUGCGCUAUCAGAUGAGCCUAGGUCGGAUUAGCUAGUUGGUGAGGUAAUGGCU
rnacentral:rRNA from 1 species